rnacentral:tRNA from 1 species
UGUGAAGUGCCUGAAUAAAAGGAUGAUUUUGAUAGAAUCAAUAAUGUGCAUCACCCCCCGGCACCUUCACAA